rnacentral:rRNA from 1 species
CCUACGGGGGGCGGCAGUGGGNAAUUUUGGACAAUGGGGGCAACCCUGAUCCAGCAAUGCCGCGUGUGUGAAGAAGGCCUUCGGGUUGUAAAGCACUUUUGUCCGGAAAGAAAACCUCCGUCCUAAUACGGUGGGGGGAUGACGGUACCGGAAGAAUAAGCACCGGCUAACUACGUGCCAGCAGCCGCGGUAAUACGUAGGGUGCAAGCGUUAAUCGGAAUUACUGGGCGUAAAGCGUGCGCAGGCGGUUCGCUAAGACCGAUGUGAAAUCCCCGGGCUUAACCUGGGAACUGCAUUGGUGACUGGCGGGCUAGAGUAUGGCAGAGGGGGGUAGAAUUCCACGUGUAGCAGUGAAAUGCGUAGAGAUGUGGAGGAAUACCGAUGGCGAAGGCAGCCCCCUGGGCCAAUACUGACGCUCAUGCACGAAAGCGUGGGGAGCAAACAGGAUUAGAUACCCUGGUAGUCCACGCCNUAACCCCUGUCAANNNNUUGUCGGGUCUUCAUUGACUUGGUAAACGAAGCUAACGCGUNAANGUGNCCCGCC